CAAGAUCAUGAGGGGUGCCUUAACAAAACGGGCUGAGAUCAUACCCACAAUACCUGAUCCGGGUAGUGCCGGCGAAGGGAAAUGAGUAACCAUUACC
rnacentral:ncRNA from 1 species